UUACAUAGAUGGGUCCUCCCUCACUCACAGAAUGAAAAGGGGAGAGCAAGAUUAGGGGAGACUGCUCAGACGUGUUGCAUAGAGGGCAGGAUUAGGGAUGACUACCACCAUGGCCUGGUUCCCUCUCCUCCUCACCCUCCUCUCUCACUGUACAGCGUCCUGGGCCCAGUCUGUGCUGACUCAGCCAUCCUCCGUGUCUGGUGCCCUGGGACAGACAGUCACCAUCUCCUGCACUGGAAGCAGCUCCAACAUUGGGAGUUAUGCUCUGAGCUGGUACCAACAGCUCCCAGGCACAGCCCCCAAAACUGUCAUCUAUUAUGAUGAUAGCAGUCCCACAGGUGUCCCCAGUCGAUUGUCUGGCUCCAAGUCUGGCAGCUCAGGCACCCUGACCAUCUCUGGGCUCCAGGCUGAGGAUGAGGCUGAUUAUUAUUGUUCAUCGUGGGAUGAUAGUCUCAGUGCUCACACAGUGCUCCAGACCUGUGAGGAA